rnacentral:lncRNA from 1 species
UUUGGUACUUUUCUUGUGCUCUCUUACUCUGCAUAAUGUUCUUCCAAAACCAAUUGGAGAAAGUUUCUAAUUAGACUUUCAACCAGCUUCUGCUUAGGCACUACCGGCCUCUGACGACCGAUGAACCCCUAGCAUCUUCAAGAGAACCGUUCACUCAGUGCUGAAGCUCACUACCAGGCACGAUGGAAUGCAACGGAAAUCAGACAGUGGGAGACAAUAAGUUCGGAGAACCCCAUAAUCUGCCAUCCUGGAUUCAUGAGUCUUUAUGUCCUUCUGAGCUUCCUCAUGGCCCUUGGUCUCUUUUCUGUCAGUCCCCCAGCAUGGAACUUCUGCCAAAAAUUGACCUUUGCUUUAAUCUUUAUCUUCAUUUUGUUUUUAUUCGCUCUGAUUUUCUUCAGGUGCUGGUAACGCCAACUUGGCACCUAUCUGGAAGAACUUACUAAUAAACGGGUUGCCUGCCACUUAUCUAAGCCCUACCAUCGCCCCCUUAGUUCUAUAUAAGCACACAGCUUUUUGCAAGGUUAAUUAUGGUGCUGUUAAUGUGUUCAUAUCUUCCAGGUAUACAAGUCUGUAAGGUAGAAGCUUCAAAAGAACAUUAUAUCAAGCUGGUGUUCUAAAGUUGUAUGGUAAUUUUAGGCUUAAAAGAAAAACAUGUUGGAGAUUUGUUUAUAUCAUUUGUGUUCUACAACUGGACUUGUUAUCAAUAAGAUAUGUACAGUUCCAUGUUACUUUUUACAUUGAGAUACAAUUUAAAUGUAUUCUUAAGUUAAUGAGAGCCUAAUCUGUGUGAAGGUUUUAUUGCAAAAC